rnacentral:lncRNA from 1 species
AUUUUGAUCAUCAGAUACUCCUGGGUGGGUGACACAGCAAAGACCCACCGCACAGCCAGCAAAUUGUCCGUCUUUCUCUUUUGAGAAAUGUGGCAGUAAAGGGUAGCAUUAUCUCCCUCAGAGUACCGCACUGUUGGUCCUGGAGAGACUGUCACAUUUAAAGCCUUACAAACAUCUGGGGCCGGGGCCGAGGCCAGCAGGGCGGCCAGCGCCGUGGCCAGGAGACGCAUGGCCCGUGGGGCGCCGGGUCCCGUCCCUUCCCUCUCCGCCGAGCUGGCUGCCUCCUCUCCUCCCCGACCGAUCCUCCCUUCUCCCCUAGUCUUUCAUCUCCUCCCCUUUC